GAGGGUACAGCUCAGUGGCAGAGCGCAUGCCUAGCAUGUGUAAGGUCCUGGGUUCAAUCCUCAGUACCUCCA
rnacentral:tRNA from 1 species